GACGAACGCUGGCGGCGUGCCUAAUACAUGCAAGUUGAGCGAUGAAGAUUGGUGCUUGCACCAAUUUGAAGAGCAGCGAACGGGUGAGUAACGCGUGGAGAAUCUGCCUUUGAGCGGGGGACAACAUUUGGAAACGAAUGCUAAUACCGCAUAACAACUUUAAACAUAAGUUUUAAGUUUGAAAGAUGCAAUUGCAUCACUCAAAGAUGAUCCCGCGUUGUAUUAGCUAGUUGGUGAGGUAAAGGCUCACCAAGGCGAUGAUACAUAGCCGACCUGAGAGGGUGAUCGGCCACAUUGGGACUGAGACACGGCCCAAACUCCUACGGGAGGCAGCAGUAGGGAAUCUUCGGCAAUGGACGAAAGUCUGACCGAGCAACGCCGCGUGAGUGAAGAAGGUUUUCGGAUCGUAAAACUCUGUUGGUAGAGAAGAACGUUGGUGAGAGUGGAAAGCUCAUCAAGUGACGGUAACUACCCAGAAAGGGACGGCUAACUACGUG
rnacentral:rRNA from 1 species